AGGACGAACGCUGGCGGCGUGCUUAACACAUGCAAGUCGAGCGGUAAGGCCCUUUGGGGUACACGAGCGGCGAACGGGUGAGUAACACGUGAGCAAUCUGCCCUUCACUUUGGGAUAACCUCCGGAAAUGGUGGCUAAUACCGAAUGCGACUGCCGGCUGCAUGGUCUGGUGGUGGAAAGUUUUUGCGGUGGGGGAUGAGCUCGCGGCCUAUCAGCUUGUUGGUGAGGUAAUGGCUCACCAAGGCUUCGACGGGUA
rnacentral:rRNA from 1 species